CUGGUAAGGAAUUUAGUGGCUGGCUUAGGUGCCAUCCCCCUUGAAUGCACCGAGGAGUUGUAACACCCGUUUAGGAAGUGUCAAAAUGAAUCACUAUUUAACAUGCGCUAUGUGCAGAACUGCCACUAAAGUACGUAUUAAGGAAAUAAUAAACCCUCACUAAAUGACGAAGGAGACACCUCUGGAAGAUGAUCACUGUGGACGUCAGAGUUUUUGCCUGAGGAGUUUUGAGCUCCUGAGUCUUCCUGAACUCUGCACGGGGCUGCUCAUUGUUUUAUCUUUACCCAGCCCUUGCUGGGGGCAGUGCGGGCAGGGCAGUUUGGGCCGCUGACUCCUUGGAGUGUUUCACUGCCAAAGCUGAAGGGGCAGAGGGUACCGGCCCGGUUCCAUCGGCCAGGGGCGUGUUGUGCUGCCGGGACAGAUGUUUUAAGUGAUCACUCAUCAUCCGAUAAACAAGCGAGUAUUUGGAGGGUGUUUUGUUAUGAUCUUCUCUGAGAGGGUGUAAAUGAUUCUUUGAAUGCUUUUACUGUAGGAAAUACCCUUCAGCAGAAACCAGGACGGAGCUUGUCUGCUGCCACAGGAAGGCUCGUUUCAGCCGCAGCUCACUGCGAGCCUUUCUGUGCCUGCAGCAGUCUGGUCACCGCAGUGCCCGGGUCUGGUGUGCGGGGGGCGGCAGCAGGGUGAGCUUCUUUCCUGCUGCUCCUGGAGGAGAGGAUAUCCUCUCACGCUGGCUGGUGGGCUGGCUUGAAGAGGCAGCGCAGCUCCUGCUGCUCACACGCGGUAAGAGAGUCCUAGUCCUGUCACCACCCGGCUCAGCCCCUUCAGACUGCAGAGCUCCCCUUUGCCCACCGCGGGUGUGAGUGACAUGUCCCUGUGCUGGGGGAAGGGACGAGCUGCCUGCUUUUCCUGAAAGGUGCUGGUGUUGCUGGUCCUCCGGGUUUGCUUUCCUCUCGCACACGAGCCUGUGUGCUCAGGGUUACACAACAGGAGAGGAGCUGAGCCACGGGAGAGGAAGGAAUACAGGCCAGGCUGUGGUGGAGUAAUAAAGGUUUUAAGUUUGGUCUGUGACACUUUCUAGGUCUGAGGUUCUGCUUGACUUCAGGCCAAAUUAUGAGUUCCUCCACUGCCAGGCUGUCAUCCUCCCUACCUAGCAAAGGACUGUUUUGUUGAUGUUCCUGAAAGAUGAUGAUGAAGUGUAAGCUCCUCUUGUUAUCUCACUGCUCGGGGCACUAAACCCAGAAUUGUCCCCCAGGGGCUGAAGUUCCAGCGGUGCCGAGCUAGUGAGGGACAGCCGGCACUAACCUGGCCCGUGCAGGAAUCUGCCCGAGACCUCCCGGCCAUGAGCGAACACGGGGCCAGUGGAGCCUCGUGCGCCGGGCACCGCCGGGUCAGCGAUCCAAGGAUCCAUUGCUCCCUCCCUCGGCCCGGGCCCCUGCUCUGCCCUAAGUCCGGACCCCCGGGUCAGCCGGGCCCGGAUCGGCUCGGGACAUGGCCCCGGCGCGGUGACCGCUCAGCGCCAGGGGGCGCUCGGGCUCCCCGUGCCUUCCCGGGAGCGCCCUCGGUUCCCGGCGUCCGGCACCGCUGGGACCGGCCGCGCACACAGCCCGGGGCUCCCCCCGUGCCUUCCCGGGAGCGCCCUCGGUUCCCGGCGUCCGGCACCGCUGGGACCGGCCGCGCACUGAGCCCGGGGCUUCCGGCACCGCUGCCCACCCUGGGUCCGUCUUGUCCUGCCGGGAGCCGCGGCCGUGCUGCUCCUUCCCCCUGAGCUGCCCAGGAUUGAAUCCUGGCGUUAAAACGCUGGGAAAAGACGCACGUUAUGUUUCUGAAUAAGGACCAGAAUAUUAUGCUAGGCAUUUUCUACUCCUUGUUUAAACCACAUUUUUUUUACAGGAAGAUACUUGGAAAUGUCGCAAAAUUUGGUUUCUUUAUCUGAACUGCAAAAUGAAUGCUGACUUGUCUCCAUUGAUCCACAGACACUUGAGCAGCACAAGAGAGGUGGGAAGAGUCAUUCCUGAUGAGAAAUGGAUUUUUUCCUCCUGCGCUCAUUAUUGUAGAGGACUGUCAGUUUCCCUUGGCAGCCCGUACAAUGGGCUUGCUCUCUAAUAAAUGCAGAUGGCAUUAAAUUAACGUUUCAUUCCUACAGUGGCAAACAGUGGCAUCCAAUUCCAGCACAGGGUAAUUCAAUGACAAUAUGGCAGCAGACAUGUACCUCGCCUGUUAUGGGCUAAUCAGUGAUGCAGAGUUCAAUUUGGACUCAAAGCAUCCACAUGGCUUGGAGUGAGUUUAUUAACAUUUAUUAGCUGGUGAAAAUGAGGUGGAGAGUGCAAAAUGAGAGAAUAUGCAUAAUAAUAAAAAAGAGCCAAAAUGUAUAAAAAGCAUAAAA